UACGGAGGGUGCAAGCGUUAGUCGGAAUUACUGGGCGUAAAGGGUGCGUAGGCGGGAAUAUAAGUCAGUUGUGAAAUUCCGGAGCUCAACUUCGGAGCUGCAACUGAAACUGUAUUUCUAGAGGGAUAGCGGGGAAAACGGAAUUCCAUGUGUAGCGGUGAAAUGCGUAGAUAUAUGGAAGAACACCUGUGGCGUAGGCGGUUUUCCAGCGAUCACCUGACGCUGAGGCACGAAAGCAAGGGGAGCAAACAGG
rnacentral:rRNA from 1 species